rnacentral:rRNA from 1 species
AUUUAAUUGAAGAGUUUGAUCAUGGCUCAGAUUGAACGCUGGCGGCAGCCCUUACACAUGCAAGUCGAGCGAGAAAG